rnacentral:lncRNA from 13 species
GGGAGGCAGGUUUUUCCGAAGUAGUUUUCAGCUUGAGUUUUCUGUAGUGAUUUUGUGGGCCCAGAAUAUUUUUCUUUCACAGUGGUGAUGGUGAUAAUGGUGAUAAUGAUGAUGAUGGUGACGAUGAUGAUAAUGAAGACCAAGGGGAAGCAGAAAAAGAGGCAGAUUUAAGUGCACUAUCAGAUAUUUUUGUUUGUCUUUCAUUCCUUGCUGAACAGAACAUUCCUCUGGAGCUGGUGGCCCACAUCAGCGGGAGCUAUUUCUGCCCAGCCCUCAAGUCCUGCACUCCGACCUCAGCAUUACCGCAGCAGCGGUGGCUGCUGACUUGGUCAAAAGUCCUGGC